UGGGGAAUAUUGCACAAUGGGCGCAAGCCUGAUGCAGCAACGCCGCGUGAGGGACGACGGCCUUCGGGUUGUAAACCUCUUUUGGCAGGGAAGAAGCGAAAGUGACGGUACCUGCAGAAAAAGCACCGGCUGACUACGUGCCAGCAGCCGCGGUGAUACGUAGGGUGCAAGCGUUGUCCGGAAUUAUUGGGCGUAAAGAGCUCGUAGGCGGUUUGUCGCGUCUGCUGUGAAAACCCGAGGCUCAACCUCGGGCCUGCAGUGGGUACGGGCAAACUAGAGUGCGGUAGGGGAGAUUGGAAUUCCUGGUGUAGCGGUGGAAUGCGCAGAGAUCAGGAGGAACACCGAUGGCGAAGGCAGAUCUCUGGGCCGUAACUGACGCUGAGGAGCGAAAGCAUGGGGAGCGAACA
rnacentral:rRNA from 1 species